rnacentral:rRNA from 1 species
AGCGAACGCUGGCGGCGUGCCUAACACAUGCCAGUCGAACGUGAAAAGGGAAACCUGAGUAAAGUGGCGUACGGGUGAGUAACGCGUAGGUAAUCUACCCCAGAAUCUGGAAUAACCUGCCGAAAGGCGGGCUAAUACUGGAUAGAGCGAGGGAACUCGUAAGAGAGUUUUUCGGGAAAGGGAGCCCGCAAGGGCCUUCGUUCUGGGAUGAGCCUGCGUCUCAUUAGCUAGUUGGUAAGGUAACGGCUUACCAAGGCGAUGAUGAGUAGCUGGUCUGAGAGGAUGAUCAGCCACACUGGAACUGAAACACGGUCCAGACUCCUACGGGAGGCAGCAGUGGGGAAUCUUGCGCAAUGGACGAAAGUCUGACGCAGCCACACCGCGUGAGUGAAGAAGGCCUUCGGGUUGUAAAGCUCUGUCGGAUGGGACGAACAUCUUCAUAGUGAAUAGCUAUGAGGACUGACGGUACCAUCAAAGGAAGCACCGGCUAACUCCGUG